AGUGAACGCUGGCGGUAGGCCUAACACAUGCCAGUCGAACGGCAGCACAGUAAGAGCUUGCUCUUACGGGUGGCGAGUGGCGGACGGGUGAGGAAUACAUCGGAAUCUACUUUUUCGUGGGGGAUAACGUAGGGAAACUACGCUAAUAACGCAAUAGACCUAACGGGGAAAGCAAGGGGUUCUCGGAACUUUCGCGGUUGAAUGAGGCGAUGUCGGAUUAGCUAGUUGGCGGGGUAAAGGCCCACCAAGGCGACGAUCCGUAGCUGGUCUGAGAGGAUGAUCAGCCACACUGGAACUGAGACACGGUCCAGACUCCUACGGGAGGCAGCAGUGGGGAAUAUUGGACAAUGGGCGCAAGCCUGAUCCAGCCAUACCGCGUGGGUGAAGAAGGCCUUCGGGUUGUAAAGCCCUUUUGUUGGGAAAGAAAAGCAGCAGGUUAAUACCCCGCUGUUCUGACGGUACCCAAAGAAUAAGCACCGGCUAACUUCGUG
rnacentral:rRNA from 1 species